UACGGAGGGGGCUAGCGUUGUUCGGAAUUACUGGGCGUAAAGCGCACGUAGGCGGCUUUGCAAGUUAGAGGUGAAAGCCCGGGGCUCAACUCCGGAAUUGCCUUUAAAACUGCAUCGCUAGAAUUGUGGAGAGGUAAGUGGAAUUCCGGAGUGUAGAGGUGAAAUUCGUAGAUAUCGGAAGAACACCAGUGGCGAAGGCGACUUACUGGACACAUAUUGACGCUGAGGUGCGAAAGCGUGGGGAGCAAACAGG
rnacentral:rRNA from 1 species